rnacentral:rRNA from 1 species
UACGGGGGGGGUAAGCGUUGUUCGGAAUUACUGGGCGUAAAGGGCUCGUAGGCGGCCAACUAAGUCGGACGUGAAAUCCCUCAGCUUAACUGGGGAACUGCGUCUGAUACUGGAUGGCUUGGAUUCGGGAGAGGAAUGCGGAAUUCCAGGUGUAGCGGUGAAAUGCGUAGAUAUCUGGAGGAACACCGGUGGCGAAGGCGGCAUUCUGGACCGAUAUUGACGCUGAGGAGCGAAAGCCAGGGGAGCAAACGGG